rnacentral:rRNA from 1 species
UACGGGGGGGGGCAAGCGUUGUUCGGAAUCACUGGGCGUAAAGGGUGCGUAGGCGGGUCUUUAAGUCAGGGGUGAAAUCCUGGAGCUCAACUCCAGAACUGCCUUUGAUACUGAGGAUCUUGAGUUCGGGAGAGGUGAGUGGAACUGCGAGUGUAGAGGUGAAAUUCGUAGAUAUUCGCAAGAACACCAGUGGCGAAGGCGGCUCACUGGCCCGAUACUGACGCUGAGGCACGAAAGCGUGGGGAGCAAACAGG